rnacentral:tRNA from 1 species
CAAAAUAUAAUUUAAAUUAAAAUAUUAAUUUUGGAAAUUAAAAAUAUAUUUUUAAUAUUUUUUUGA